rnacentral:rRNA from 1 species
GACGAACGCUGGCGGCGUGCUUAACACAUGCAAGUCGAGCGAAAAGGCCCUGAUUGCUGGGCACUCGAGUGGGGAACGGGUGCGUAAUACGUGGGUUAUCAGCCUUCCACUUUGAGAUAAGCAUAGGCUAGAAACUCUAGUAAUGACCAUGAUCAACUGUCAAUCGGUGGUUUGGGGAAUGAUUUUGCGGUGGUGGAUGGAUGAGAGGCCUAUCAGCUUGUUGGUGAGGUAAUGGCGUACGAAGGCGACGCCAGAUAGCCGACCUGAGAGCGUCAUCGGCCGCACGGGGACAAGGAGACGGCACAGAGUCGUACGGGAGGCAGCAGUGGAAAAUAUUGACCAAUGCGCGCAAGUCUGAUGCAGCGACGCCGCGUGAGGAAAGACGGCCUUCUCGUUGUAAAACUCUUUCACCGGCGACGAGGCGUGAGUGACGGUACCUGGAGAAGAAGCACCGGCAAACUACGUG